CGAACGAAGCGCUUUACCGGAUUUCUUCGGAAUGAAAGUUUUGUGACUGAGUGGCGGACGGGUGAGUAACGCGUGGGUAACCUGCCUCAUACAGGGGGAUAACAGUUAGAAAUGACUGCUAAUACCGCAUAAGACCACAGGACCGCAUGGUCCAGUGGUAAAAACUCCGGUGGUAUGAGAUGGACCCGCGUCUGAUUAGCUAGUUGGUAAGGUAACGGCUUACCAAGGCGACGAUCAGUAGCCGACCUGAGAGGGUGACCGGCCACAUUGGGACUGAGACACGGCCCAAACUCCUACGGGAGGCAGCAGUGGGGAAUAUUGCACAAUGGGGGAAACCCUGAUGCAGCGACGCCGCGUGAGCGAUGAAGUAUUUCGGUAUGUAAAGCUCUAUCAGCAGGGAAGAAUUAGGACGGUACCUGACUAAGAAGCACCGGCUAAAUACGUGCCAGCAGCCGCGGUAAUACGUAUGGUGCAAGCGUUAUCCGGAUUUACUGGGUGUAAAGGGAGCGUAGACGGAGAGGCAAGUCUGAUGUGAAAACCCGGGGCUCAACCCCGGGACUGCAUUGGAAACUGUUUUUCUAGAGUGUCGGAGAGGUAAGUGGAAUUCCUAGUGUAGCGGUGAAAUGCGUAGAUAUUAGGAGGAACACCAGUGGCGAAGGCGGCU
rnacentral:rRNA from 1 species